rnacentral:rRNA from 1 species
ACAGGUAGUCAAGAUGAGAAUUCUAAGGUGAGCGAGCGAACUCUCGUUAAGGAACUCGGCAAAAUGACCCCGUAACUUCGGGAGAAGGGGUGCUCUUUAGGGUUAACGCCCAGAAGAGCCGCAGUGAAUAGGCCCAAGCGACUGUUUAUCAAAAACACAGGUCUCUGCUAAACCGUAAGGUGAUGUAUAGGGGCUGACGCCUGCCCGGUGCUGGAAGGUUAAGAGGAGUGGUUAGCUUCUGCGAAGCUACGAAUCGAAGCCCCAGUAAACGGCGGCCGUAACUAUAACGGUCCUAAGGUAGCGAAAUUCCUUGUCGGGUAAGUUCCGACCCGCACGAAAGGCGUAACGAUUUGGGCACUGUCUCAACGAGAGACUCGGUGAAAUCAUAGUACCUGUGAAGAUGCAGGUUACCCGCGACAGGACGGAAAGACCCCGUGGAGCUUUACUGUAGCCUGAUAUUGAAAUUCGGCACAGCUUGUACAGGAUAGGUAGGAGCCUUUGAAACGUGAGCGCUAGCUUACGUGGAGGCGCUGGUGGGAUACUACCCUAGCUGUGUU